UACGUAGGUGGCAAGCGUUGUCCGGAUUUAUUGGGUUUAAAGGGUGCGUAGGCGGCCCUGUAAGUCAGUGCUGAAAUAUCCCGGCUUAACCGGGAGGGUGGCAUUGAUACUGCAGGGCUUGAGUACAGAUGAAGUAGGCGGAAUUGACGGUGUAGCGGUGAAAUGCAUAGAUAUCGUCAAGAACACCGAUAGCGAAGGCAGCUUACUAAGCUGUAACUGA
rnacentral:rRNA from 1 species